rnacentral:lncRNA from 1 species
CUUCCUUUAUCUUAUUAACCACUGGUUAAAUAUGGCUAGUUUCCAGGCAUGUUAUCAGGUCAAUGAUGCAUCAGAGUUAAGAAUAGUCUAAUUAAGAACUGGCAUUUUCACAUUACUCUUCAUGCGUUAGUAUUGGCGAAUAAAGGUUUUCAUUCUUUCCAAAUCAAGACAAAUGACCACCACAAAAUGGGAAAAGAUAACGAUUUUUGCACAACUACUUCAUUCUACCCCUGAAGUGGUUGUACUGUAUGUACCGGAGCAGCUAUUUCCACUUCAAGAUACACUUAUCCACACUAUCUUUAAUGUAUUUCACUUGCUUGGACUAUAUUAUCCUUGUCUUAAUGGUCUGUUAUAAACUUAUAAUGCUAUAUGCACUAUGCUGGUAACUAUUACUUUUCAAUGAUAGCACAUGGACUAUGUGUCGCUUCUUGAUUAGGUCCAUUACUUUCUCCUUUCGAAUUCUUUAUCCAGAAUGUUUUUGGUAUGGUUAUGUCAAUGAAAUUCUGUUGUUGGAAGCCUUGUGCCUUGCAACUUACUGCCGAAGCAUCCAUAGAAUGAAUAGGUAGUGCAUACAGUGAUAAUGAACUCCUCCGUCCAAUUUAUUGAUGAUUAACCAACAAAAAGAUUCUUCAACAGUACACCAAAUGAAAGUUCAAGGUGAGGAUAGUGUUGCCUGUAGAUAAAUCACUAAAGAUAGUCACAUUACAUAAGAUAUAGUUUCUGCAAGAGAGAUGAAAGAAAGAAGACAAACCGAAGAGAUACAGUGAGGUAGGAGAUGAGUUUCCGUUUCUUUUUCUUACCUCUUUUUAAUUUAUUUUGAAACAAAAAGGAAUAGUGGAGCAUAAAUUGGGAACUCUAGAAUGAUUAUGUCUUUCUGUAAUCAUCACGAGGGAUUUUGUCUACACUGGUGGAUGCAUUAAUUGCAGUGUGGAUAGGGAUGUUUAGGUGCAGAAAUAGCUGCUCUCUUUAGUCAAUUAGAUUCUAUUCCAUUACUCCCUCUGACCCAAUUUAUAUGGUAUUCUUUCCUUUUUAGUCCGUCCUAAAAAGAAUGUCACCGUUGUAUAUUUUCAGAAAGAAUUUUACUUUAAAAUUUGUCGUUAACCCUUAGUGAGAUGAUUUAUAAUCACACAAAACAUUAAGGCUUGUUUUAGACCACAAGUUUCAAAAGUCUUCCUUUCUUUCUUAAACUUCAUGCCUAGUCAAACAGUGCCACAUAAAUUGGGACGGAGGGAGUGUUAAAUUUAUGCUGGUUUAAUGUUCAAUCAUUGCCCUUGCUUUCCAAAGUUAAUGUAUUAGCUACCGUAACAGAACAAGGUUGCUAUAUGUUGUUUUGUCAAGAACACAAAUUAGAAUUUGUCCCUUUCUUUUUGAAUUAGAAUUUGGUCACUGUUAGUAAGUGCAAUCGCUUAAUAGCAAACCUAUCAGAACAAGGUUGCUAUACAUUUUCUCAUGAACACAAAUUAGAACUUGUCUAUUUCAUUUUUGAAUUAGAAUUCUCAUUUUAAUUGCAAUCGGUUAUCAGGUUGCUGUCGCUCUUUCACAUGCUGCAAUUUUAGAAGAGUCCAUGCGUGCCCAUGAUCAGCUCAUGGAACAGAAUAUUGCUUUGGAUGUAGCUCGUCAAGAAGCAGAGAUGGCCAUCCGCGCUCGUAACGACUUCCUAGCUGUGAUGAACCAUGAAAUGAGAACACCUAUGCAUGCAGUUAUUGCUUUGUGCUCUCUGCUUUUAGAAACAGACUUAACUCCAGAGCAGAGGGUUAUGAUUGAGACCAUACUGAAGAGUAGCAAUCUUCUGGCAACACUGAUUAAUGAUGUGCUAGAUCUUUCCAGACUUGAAGAUGGUAUUCUUGAACUAGAAAAUGGAACAUUCAAUCUUCAUGGAAUCUUAAGAGAGGUAAAUGACCACAAACUUAUGCAUAUCUAACAUACACCAGUGACAUGCUGAUUUCCUCUAGUAAACAGGUAGUAUUAAUUCAUUUUUUCAUUGAUUUGCAGGCCGUUAAUUUGAUAAAGCCAAUUGCUUCUUUGAAGAAAUUAUCUAUUACUCUUGCUUUGGCUCUGGAUUUACCUAUUCUUGCGGUGGGUGACGCAAAACGCCUUAUUCAAACUCUCUUAAAUGUGGCGGGAAAUGCUGUGAAGUUCACUAAAGAAGGUCAUAUUUCAAUUGAGGCUUCAGUUGCUAAACCAGAGUACGCGAGAGAUUGUCAUCCUCCUGAAGUGUACCCUAUGCCAAGUGAUGGCCAGUUUUAUUUGCGCGUCCAGGUUGAGCAUUUCUAUCCUCUAUCAUGGCUAAAUGGCUGUACCGUGUUUCUUGAGGAAAUGUAAUUUGCAUACAAAUGCACACUUCCAGAUUUAUUUGCUAGCUAGUAUGGGGAAAAAGUUUGUGUUCUCGGUUCCAAAGCCAGCAAGGAAUUAGGAAUCGAGUCGAAAUCCUCUUUGAUCACUAAACAAAUAUUUCUUUCUAUCAAAAGUGAAGAUACAUGUACUUUUUCCUUCAGAUAGGUCAUGCCCUGCAGACAGUAUCUCCUUUUGGUUUCAGUUUACUUUAUGGUUGUGGGAGGUUUGUUUGAAGGUUUUCUUUUCUUUUCUUUCCUUUCCAUUUCUUGCAGUUCUAAAUUUUCAUCUUGAGGAGAAUAUCAAUCAGAAAAAGAGAUUUUUAUCAUUCACUUGAAAAUUAAUCAGUUUCAGAUUUAUGUUGUUCUUGUAGGUUAGAGAUACUGGGUGUGGCAUUAGCCCACAAGACAUCCCACUCGUAUUCACCAAAUUUGCAGAGGCACGAACUACAUCAAAUCGAAGUAGUGGAGGGGAAGGUCUGGGGCUCGCCAUCUGCAGACGGUAUGUUUUGAAAUUGUAAAUUUGGUAGCAUUAUUUUUUCCUAGUUUCCAUGUUAUAAAGGCUUCAACACAUCCUCUUUUUACCCUCAUUUUUCUCUGUGGUAUAGCUAUUUAUAUGUUGUUUUGCAUGCUGUUUUGUGUGACUUGGUACUAUUAUUCAUGCACUCAUUUGACAUUUGAAACGCGGGGUGGAUGCAGAUUUAUUCAACUUAUGAAAGGUAACAUCUGGAUUGAAAGUGAGGGCCUAGGAAAGGGAACCACUAUCACCUUUGUAGUUAAACUUGGAGUCUGCAACCAUCCAAACGCAUUGCCUCUGCUACCUAUGGCCCCUAGAGGGAGGUUGAACCAAGGUAGUGAUGAUCUAUUCAGGUAUAGACAGUUCCGUGGAGAUGAUGGUGGGAUGGUUGGGACCGUUCAACGCUAUCAAAGGAGUUUGUGAAUGACAACAAACAUUGGUGACAUAGUACACUAGACCAGUAUUUGUGAAUUUGUGUUUUAUUCACUGUUCUGAAUGCUCCCAUGACAGUGACUCAAUGUAACUACUUAAUUCAGUGUCCAAAAAGAGGACUGAAAAUUGCUUGCAUCUUGAAAAUGUCACUAUUGAAAUUAUAUAGCUAGCUUUAUACAACCUGAUGUCACACCUCCUUUUUCCCGAGGGGAUAGGGGAAUCGAAAUGUGAUUAUUUAUUCAGAGUUGCCACUUGGAAUAAGUUAUGGUGUCCCAAGUCACCAGUUUAUUUUAAAUUCCCAAAUCGAGGAAAUUGACUCGUAUUAUGGUAUGCGAACACAUAAGAUCGGGUAAGGAAUUCUGUUAACCCGGGAGAAAGUGUGAGACACUCCCGAGUUCCGUGAUUUUAGCACGGUGGCUCAACUAUUAAUAAUUGGCCUAAUUAUUUGAUUUAUUACAUGUUUUAAACCUAUUAUGCAUUUUUAAACCUUUGAACCACUUUAAAAUUAUUUUAAACAAUUAUGGAAUUUGUUUGAACGAGUCGCGAUGUUGUGCACUCGUUUGUUUUUGUACACAUUGCGAAUCACGUCACGGGAACCGCACACACAAUCUACAACAUGUUUAUUUUAAUUAUUAUUUGAAGUUAUGGUCGGGUCAGAAGAAAUGUACGCCUGAAUUGGGGAUUAUGUAUCGUAACUAUGCCACGGGAAUCGUACCUAUAGCCACGAUGAUUUAUUUAAAACGUGCAUAAAGCAAACUACGGUUGUUCAUAAAUUAUUUUCCUAAAUUAUUUUGAGAUUAUUGCAAGGCCUUUGAUGAUGGAUAAGAAAUCUGGAAGAACUAUACAUUUUAAUUAUUGGGAAUUAGAAGAAUUAAAUUAAUCUAAAUUGUUGGAAGUAUCUAGUAAUUGAUGGACAUUUAUCUUAAGGGCCAUCCUAUGAACUACUAACUAUUGUUGAACUACUUCUGAGGGAAUACCAAACCAACGUGAAAUUCAACCCAGGUUCAGAAUUUUAAACUGGUAAGUCAAUGACUGGGCUUCCGAGUUGAGCCCAACGACAUAAAAGCCCAUUAUAAAGCACAAAUUUUAGAUGGAAUGGUUCAUGCGAAUUACAGGAAUGAAAACAGUCGAUAUCUACUCAUGCAACUGUCCAAAUUUAAACGCGGACUACAAACGGAAAUGGUGACCAAAUUUAAAAUUGAUUUUUCGAUCAUACUCAAGAUAAAAAAAUAAAAUAAAAAUUGAUUCACAGGCUCUUGUACCUAAACAUGAAUUAUCCACUUUUAUCAAAGAACUAAACCAAACCCUGUCUACCAAGUUUAUCAUUUUUUUCUAAUGAAUCUCAUAUUAUAAGACCAAUUGUACUAAAUCAAAUGUCAAAAGAAAAGCAAAAUAAGAUACCAAAAUAAAUAAAUAAGUAAAAGACUGCCAAACUCUAUAAAGCUCACUGCACCUCAAACGUGUAUCAUAGCUUCGAUUUUACAAUAAAGCUUACUUCUAUACACUAAACUUCUACUUUCUGGAAUUAAAAAUGCCCUUUCUAACCCAUGAAAUCGAAACUCUGGCCUGCCAUGGCUCAUGCUAUUCCAAACCUCCAUUCUCUCAUGUAAAACACAUUACUAUCACACAGAUUUAGUACAACUCUUCAUCAAACCAAAAGUUACAUGAUUUAGCAUCUUGGGAAGUUUAAAUGUUGACUAUUAACAUACUUUAACAGAAUAGAUGAACAUCAAUAGCAACUGAAUUAGUUUAAAAAUGGUUUCAACCAAAACUUCAACUAAUGAUCUAAUAAGCCAAGAACUGAUAUUGAAACACUGAUAUUAGCAAAAAAAAAACAUAUAUAAUCACAUGUAGCAAGAUGAAUACAUAGAAAAUCGAAAUAGGCAUAUUCAUGGAAUCAACAACUUAAUGAACCUAAUUUUUUGCAUUUCAAAGAAAGUUACAGAAGUGUUUUAGCAUACCUAAAAGCAGCAAGUAGCAAAGAACACAAGAAUAGAAGAAUAAAUCUCUGAACUUGAGGACAGCUAAACCCAAAACCUCACAACAACUUGAUUGAAAGGUGAGCAACACAACAACUAAAGCAGUACAAACCCAGAAGAAAAUUUGUGAAAAAUCAAUGUGGAUGAUGAAGAUGAAACUCUGAUUUUUUUUUUGUCUAAAUCUAUGCUUUUUUUAGGGUGAAUAUGCUGAAAAUUAAUGUAUGUGUGUGUGUGAGAGAGUGAGUGAGUAGUCCUUUAUAUAGAGUAGGAAUGCAAAAGGAUAGGAAAGAGAGGU